CGGAGUACUACGCUACCCCCAAGGACAAAAGCCAUGCAAGCGGACACGAGGUAUGAAGUGGCGGACGGCUCGGUACAACGGUACGAGUCUGACCGGGGGUGAAGGCUAGACGGAUACCGCUGGCAACCCAGCGCCAAGACGAGUGCUCAAGAGCGGGGAAGGAAAGCACGCGAUGGAGCGAAUGCCCGGAUGAGGUUCCGAGGUAUUACCUAGUCGGUAGAGUAGUGGUCUACGGAGGGGAUGAUGCCUGGCGGAGGAUCAGGGUUUGACUCCGGAGAACGGGCCUGAGAGACGGCCCGUACAUCCAAGGACGGCAGCAGGCGCGGAACUUGCCCAAUGCGUGAAGGCGUGAGGCAGCAACGGGGGAUCCCAUGAAAUGGGAAGACUGGGGGGUAGAUGACCCCAGCACAAGUCGAGGGAAAGUCUGGUG
rnacentral:rRNA from 1 species